GCGAUCAUACCAGCACUAAUGCACCGGAUCCCAUCAGAACUCCGAAGUUAAGCGUGCUGGGCGAGAGUAGUACUAAGAUGGGUGACCUCUUGGAGUCCUCGUGUUGCACCCC
rnacentral:rRNA from 1 species